CUGUAUGGCAGUGCUGCUCUCGACGUGUCCGAUCUGAUCUCAGAAACCAUGCAGGGCUGUGUCUGGUUAGUCCUUGGUUGAUAGACAGCCUAGGACUACUAGGUGCUGUAAAGU
ensembl:rRNA 5S_rRNA 5S ribosomal RNA